ACCUGGGUGUCCCUGACACCAUCAACCAAUAAACCUGGGUGUCCCUGACACCAUAAAACCAAUAAAUUUAUACUCUACUGAGCGUACUUCAGUACCUGUUCGAGUCGGCCGACGUCUCGGCCUGUUUUGGGGGCCUAUCACCUGAUAAUAAGCUCUUUAGUGCUCCUCACCUCCACUAAACACUAUCACUAUAGUAUAGAAAAAGAUCUCUAGUGCUUAGGUUUGCUGCAGCCUAAAAACCAAACAGACUCCAGUCUAUGCCUCAGAAUAUGCUUUAAUCACGGCCGGGAGAGUUCUCAUCAUUCCAGAGAAUCUCUCUCCGAACAAAGGAAUACAACAGGUUUUAUAGGAUUUCAGGUACACUUCACAGUCAGCAUGGCAUGAUCUAUUACUCAUUAUCAUCAGUCUCAAUAUGAUUAGUUUAGAUUUAAGAAAAACAUCUCAGUUCCUCUGUCCCGCUUACUGCCGGAGUAAAUUUAGAUUAGAACAACUGAAUCACAAGAUCAUCAAAAAAUGUCUCAGGGUUAAUAGUUCAGAUUACUCAAUAGGUUAAAACAACCUCUCAAAGACUAUUUUUUAUCCCCAGAAGGAUGCUGUCUAGCCAGCACAGCAGAAUGUUUCUGAAUCACAACACUCCUAGUGACUGUUUCUCUAUUUCUAAGUUAGAUUAUUAUUAUUAGGCCUGUAGAAGAAAAGAAAUGUUAGUUCAUUAAUUAGUUCAAAAAUUCCAUCACACUAGCAAGUGCACGUCAUUGCGUGAUUACAUCAGUGAAAAGGUCCGCUUUCGGCGCUGAAAAAUGGAAGUGCAAACGUUACUGGUUUGAUUGCUGUACAGCAUUUUUUCCGAUAUGGAAAUGGAGAUGGUGAGGCAGCAUUGGCGUCAGGCUCGCAGGAGGAGAAUUUCAAUUUGUCGCCACCUCUGCCGUUAAAGACGUGGGAUGGUAAGUAACGUUACCGCUCUUAUCAUUCAUUUAAAAAUAAUUACAUCCAUUAUGUUAUGGGUCAAAUUGACCCGCACUGUUUAAACACACUUGAAUCAAUAUGAUUAAAAUGAGUUUAUUGAUUUAAAAACGAUUAUAUUGCCUGAAUGAACAGAACUGCGGCCAUAGCAACACUCUGUUUUUAAUGGCAAUGGUGUGUUAUACUUGCAGUGGUCUGUUAUCUAGAAAUAACAGACCGGAAUUCAACCAAGCCAUGUAAUAAUAUUUAAUAUUUAAAAAUAUAUAUAAUUUAAGAACUAUUUGUUAAAGACAUGUCCUAUCUCACAAACAAGAUUUUUUUCUAUUUCCCCAACUAGGCUUUUUUUUUACCCUAUUGAGCAAAAUGAUCCCUUCAGUCUUUCUCUCCACAUUUUGAACAUAAUUUAUGUGUGUGCUAUCGCAUAUGUAUUUAUAUGCAUUUAUAUUUAUUAACUGAAAUUAUACUUAAACCUUCCUCUCUCCUACAUCUUGUACAGGCUCGGCAAUACCGUGCCAUCAAUGCCACAGUGCCAGUACUGCAGCGGUACUAUGGAGGGGAGGACACUCGGCCAGACUUCAGGCCAUGCAGCAGCUGAUGGUGGCCCUGAAGACUGACAGGCAGCAUGGAUGGGGCCAGACCCUGGAGACACUCGUGUUCCUGUUCUGGCUGGAAACCGGUUCAGCCUACAGAGUUGUCUCCAGGGUCUUUAGCAUGCCUCUUCCCACAGUGCACAGAGUUGUCCACAAGAUGGUGGAUGAGGUGGUGGCUGUGCUCCCCCAAUUUGUGCACUUCCCUCGCACACAGGAGGAGCUCCAAGUGGUUGGGGAUGGUUUUGCUCGCUUGGCUAAUCACCAAGCAUUUGGCAAGGCAGCAGGGGCAGUAGACGGCCGCCACAUAAGAAUAAAAUGUCCCGGCGGCCCUGAUGGUCACAAUUACAACAGAAAGCUCUUCCCUUCAGUGGUGCUCCAGGCAGUCUGUGACCAUCAGGGUCGCUUUAUUGACAUCUUUGUGGGUUACCCAGGAAUUGUGCAUGAUGCACGCAUCCUCAAGAACAGCCCCAUCUACACUAGGGGGACUUACCCUCCGCCUGGGUAUUUUCUCCUAGCUGACGGUGGCUACCCAUGUCUACAGGAACCCCUGGCCCUUAUCACACCAUAUAAGAGGCCAGUGAGAGGCAUGGCAGAGCAAAGGUUCAACUACCAUCAUUCCAAAGGUCACAAUCAUUGAGCGUGCAUUUGGAAUGAUGAAAACCCGCUUCAGGUGCAUCUUUUUAGAAGCACUUGGAGUACAUACACUGUUUGUCCCUAAGGUGGUGACGGCGUGUGUAAUUUUGCACAACAUUUGUGUUGGUGUCGGGGAUGUGCUGGAAGAGGUUGUGGAGGAGGACAA